CCUCUGGCUUGUUUAUGUGUACAACCCCUACCCAUAAUGAGCAGGUGCCACCCAAUGCCAAACCUCUGGAUACGCCCGUGACUGUGUAAUUUAUUUUGAAAAUAUUUUUGACUUUUUUUUUUUAUUCUGUUUUCAGUAAAUAAAGGCUGGUGUCAACAUCACUAUGUAGCACCUGACCCUUGAUAUCUGUAGCACCUUUUUAUGCCUUCACUUGACCAUGUGACCAUCUACAAUCCUGCACGUGAACUGUUCUGUCAGUUUACAUGUGAGUUUUCCUUUGAAUCUACAUAAAAUCCACAUUAGCCGCACAGAGGCAUUACACAGAAACACAAACAACCAGCAGAGUUGUUGAUGCUGGAUCCGGAGCUGAGCCCGAAACAGCAGUCCAAUGUGACUUCCGGUUUUCACAAUAAAGGCCCAAACUUUAAAAGACCCCAACACCAGCCAGGGGUGGAUAAAAUGUUGACAUUAAGAUCUUUAAACAUUACAUUUUACAUUAUUGAAAAGGUCGGAGCUUUACGGGAUACAAGUUUCUAUAAAUUAACGAACAACUGACCUAAACUGGGGGGAAACAUCUCACAAUCCCCUUCUACGAAUUUCACCUAGUUAGUGGAAGUUUUUCAGACUUUAUUGUUACUGCGAUUCCUUUGUGGCAUUUUUUUUUUUUUUUGGUAUUCCAAAUCUCAGUAUAGCUCGGGACGUGCACUUUUCUUCUUGUGUGUAGGAUAGGAGGCAAAAUACAGAGACGUGUUAACCUGCAGGAGACCCAUAAUGAAAGCCAGGCUGUCUGUCUUAGAGUGCUGAGUUUCAGAAAGCUGAACAAAUAAUUUCAUCAAUGAGAGUGGCCUGGAUGGACAGGAUUAAAACGAGUACAUCAGAGAGACAGCUCAGGUAGAGCAGUUUGGGGGCAAAGUUUGUGAGACAAGGCUGAGAUGGUGUGGACAUGUGCAUAUACUGGACAUACUGGACAAAGGAUGCUGAAAAUGGAGAGCAGGCAGGAAGACCACAGAGGAGGUUCGUGCAUGUAGUGAAGGAGGACACUCAGAUAGGAGAAGAGGAGGGUGCUAGAGGUAGCGUUAGAAGAAGGCAGAUGGUACCCAAAGAGAGCAG
ensembl:lncRNA